AUCUUGUCCUUCUUGUGUUAAAAUAAUUUGACUAGUUUUUUGCUCUAAUUUGGACCAAACUUGGUGGAAUCAUUGAGGGUCAUCCAUGGACAAAUUGACUUGAUUUUGAGAAAAAUUGGUUAAAUGUUG